GACGAACGCCUGGCGGCGUGCUUAACACAUGCAAGUCGAGCGAGAAAGCUACCUUCGGGUAGUUAGUAAAGCGGCGAACGGGUGAGUAACGCGUGGGUAUCUACCUUUAAGUCCGGGAUAACUUUCCGAAAGGAAAGCUAAUACUGGAUAAUCUCCUUCGGGAGCAAAGGUCAGUUUUGCUGACACUUAAGGAUGAGCCCGCGUCCCAUUAGCUAGUUGGUGAGAUAACAGCUCACCAAGGCAGCGAUGGGUAGCCGACCUGAGAGGGUGAUCGGCCACACUGGGACUGAGACACGGCCCAGACUCCUACGGGAGGCUGCAGUGGGGAAUCUUCCGCAAUGGGCGUAAGCCUGACGGAGCAACGCCGCGUGGGUGAAGAAGGCCUUCGGGUCGUAAAGCCCUGUCUUCAGGGACGAACCCCCUGACUGUUAAAACAGUCAGGUUUGACGGUACCUGAAGAGGAAGCCCCGGCUAAUUACGUGCCAGCAGCCGCGGUAACACGUAAGGGGCAAGCGUUGUCCGGAAUCACUGGGCGUAAAGGGUGUGCAGGCGGUCUAGCAAGUCAGAGGUGAAAGCCAUCGGCUUAACCGAUGAAGUGCCUUUGAAACUGUUAGACUUGAGGGUAGGAGAGGAAAGUGGAAUUCCCGGUGUAGUGGUGAAAUACGUAGAGAUCGGGAAGAAUACCAAUGGUGAAAACAGCUUUCUGGCCUGACCCUGACGCUGAGGCACGAAAGCCAGGUUAGCAAACGGGAUUAGAUACCCCGGUAGUCCUGGCUGUAAACGAUGGACACUGAGUGUUGGAGGUUAAACUCCUUCAGUGCUGCAGUUAACGCGUUAAGUGUCCCGCCUGGGGAUUACGACCGCAAGGUUGAAACUCAAAGGAAUUGACGGGGGCCCGCACAAGCGGCGGAGCAUGUGGUUCAAUUCGAUGCAACGCGCAGAACCUUACCAGGGCUUGACAUCCCGUGUCAGUCUGUGAAAACAGAUGUUGGCUCUUUUGAGUCACACGGUGACAGGUGGUGCAUGGCUGUCGUCAGCUCGUGUCGUGAGAUGUUGGGUUAAGUCCCGCAACGAGCGUAACCCCUAUCCUUAGUUGCCAGCGAGUAAUGUCGGGGACUCUAGGGAGACUGCCGGGGGAGCAACCCGGAGGAAGGUGGGGACGACGUCAAGUCAUCAUGCCCCUUAUGUCCUGGGCUACACACGUGCUACAAUGGCCUGUACAGAGGGCAGCGACACCGCGAGGUGGAGCAAACCCCAGANAGCAGGUCUCAGUUCGGAUCGCAGGUUGCAACUCGUCUGCAUGAAGCUGGAGUCGCUAGUAAUCGUGGAUCAGAAUGUCACGGUGAAUCCGUUCCCGGGCUUUGUACACACCGCCCGUCACACCACCCGAGUUGGAGGCACCUGAAAGUCACUCUAUGAAGUGCCGAAGGUGGCGUUCCGAUAAGGGGGGUA
rnacentral:rRNA from 1 species